rnacentral:tRNA from 1 species
GGCUUAUUAGUUUUAAGAAUACUUUAUUGUAGAUAAAGGGGUUUUUGGCCAAAAAAGUUU